CUGGCAUUGCAAGUGUGCAAGCGUUCAGUAGGGACUCUGAGUUAGAUUGUAAAAGGCAGGGAGGUUGCUGUGGGUUCCAGAACAGAUAUUGAGUGAGAGAGGUUUCCCCUUCGGAGUUUUGACCAGGUAUCCCCAGGUAUCCCCAGGUUUUUCCCCUCGGAGUUUUGUCCAGGUAUCCCCAGGUCUUUCCCCUCGGAGUUUUGUCCAGGUGUCCCCAGGUUUUUCCCCUCGGAGUUUUGUCCAGGUAUCCCCAGGUCUUUCCCCUCGGAGUUUUGUCCAGAUGUCCCCAGGUUUUUCCCCUCGGAGUUUUGUCCAGGUAUCCCCAAGUUUUUUCCCCUCGGAGUUUUGUCCAGGUUUCCCCUUUUCCGG